UACGUAGGGUGCAAGCGUUGUCCGGAAUUAUUGGGCGUAAAGAGCUCGUAGGCGGUCUGUCGCGUCGGCUGUGAAAUCCCGGAGCUCAACUCCGGGUCUGCAGUCGAUACGGGCAGACUGGAGUUCGGCAGGGGAGACUGGAAUUCCUGGUGUAGCGGUGAAAUGCGCAGAUAUCAGGAGGAACACCAGUGGCGAAGGCGAGUCUCUGGACAUUUCCUGACGCUGAGGCACGAAAGCCAGGGGAGCAAACGGG
rnacentral:rRNA from 1 species